CAGAGACCGGGAGAACAUGUGAUACGUGCAGCACAUCCACAAGAUUAAAAACUUUGCGAUAACAAUGGGCAUUUUUGAUGGAUUUGUGCAUGUAUUUUUGAAUGAGAAACACGCACAGAUUAAUCUAGGUGCAUGUCUGUAACAGUGUGGUGUGCUUCCAGUUCCUGUAUCCCUGGGCAUGUCUGAUUAAGCACUGAACUGCAGCACUGCAGCCUCCCUCACUCUCUGCAGGAUUGCAAAGCCAGGAGUCUGUCAGGCCCCUCCAGCUCUUUAGAGGAAUACAGGAGAUCGGUUUGCAGCUCCAUUCCCAGAUGAUGUCAGAGUGAUGACAGCCAUGACGACAGCCUAAUUGCCCCCUGUCUCAGAACGGUACAGAAACAGUGCGUCCGUCUGAGCACAGAACAUGAGGAAUCGUAUUGACCGGAGAAAGUCAUUUGGGCAAGCAUUGCCCUUCGCUGUACAGGACAAUCUGUCGCAAUGUAUCUUCCAUCCCAGUUACCUGCCAUUUCCACUCUUACUGCUUGUCAUUAGCAUCUGUUUCAGCAGAGAAAGCAACCUCCUCCCUCCUUACUGCUAUUUAAAGUCCCCUAACUCUAAGCAGCCUCCAGAGGUAGUCUCUAUUUGUGCUGCUAUGUGGGACCAUUAAUAACUGUAACUGUGGUUUGAUGCACACUUUAGAAAAAUGUUAUCAAAUAAUUCGAAAUUUGCAUUAUCCUUUCCCCAGUUCUUCCCAUGCACCUCGAUAACCCUGACCUGAACACCCUCCCCCCUCCCUCUGAGUUUUUGGUCUCACUCUUCUGCUACAGUAUUAUGUGGUAUUUGGAGUAUUACUGAGCUGGAUUCAAACCAAGCCUCAAAAGCAGUCAGGCUAGUGUUGCAGAUCUAAUAGCUGCAGAUCAGUUUUCUCUGCUCCCCCUAUCAUCAUGUAGCUGAAUGUUUGUAUUUCACUUGUCUUCACUUAUGAAGGUAUGAUAUUAUAACUCAUGUUUGCACGCACCUUGUAGAGCCCCUUUGUUUGCCAGACAGAGAGAAGAUCCCUUUUCCAGUCUGAACUCCACUUUGUUGAGUGCGAAAGGAUAAAGACACACAUUGGAGGACAUUUGCAGGGACAGUAAUACCUACAGAUCAACACGAGGAGCAGGCUGCUCAACUGCUUUAUAAUUUCAUUGAUGUUUCCAUAUUAGCAAUCCUCAUUUGUGAUGAAAUGUAUUUCUAUGCAAUUACAUUGCAUGUGAAGUUUCCUAUCCAUGUGUGUAUUUGAUAAUGCAUAUAUGUUUUUUUUUUUUUUUCAAAGUUAUGGCAGGUCAACUUCUCGAACUCCAUAGAGUUCACACUAUCUGUUUUAUUUGUAGAAAAAUGUAAUAAAAAAUGUGUG